UGCAGUCGAACGGCAGCGCGGGCUUCGGCCUGGCGGCGAGUGGCGAACGGGUGAGUAAUGCAUCGGAACGUACCCAGUCGUGGGGGAUAACACAUCGAAAGAUGUGCUAAUACCGCAUACGUCCUGAGGGAGAAAGCGGGGGACCUUCGGGCCUCGCGCGAUUGGAGCGGCCGAUGUCAGAUUAGCUAGUAGGUGGGGUAAAGGCCCACCUAGGCGACGAUCUGUAGCGGGUCUGAGAGGAUGAUCCGCCACACUGGGACUGAGACACGGCCCAGACUCCUACGGGAGGCAGCAGUGGGGAAUUUUGGACAAUGGGGGCAACCCUGAUCCAGCCAUGCCGCGUGAGUGAAGAAGGCCUUCGGGUUGUAAAGCUCUUUCGGCCGGGAAGAAAUCGCACCUUUUAAUAGAGGGUGUGGAUGACGGUACCGGACUAAGAAGCACCGGCUAACUACGUGCCAGCAGCCGCGGUAAUACGUAGGGUGCGAGCGUUAAUCGGAAUUACUGGGCGUAAAGCGUGCGCAGGCGGUUUGCCAAGACAGGCGUGAAAUCCCCGGGCUUAACCUGGGAACUGCGCUUGUGACUGGCAGGCUAGAGUACGGCAGAGGGGGGUGGAAUUCCACGUGUAGCAGUGAAAUGCGUAGAGAUGUGGAGGAACACCGAUGGCGAAGGCAGCCCCCUGGGCCUGUACUGACGCUCAUGCACG
rnacentral:rRNA from 1 species